rnacentral:lncRNA from 1 species
CCUGGCUCAUAGAAAGUAUCAAAUAAGUGGUAGACAAGUUGUCAUUUUCACUUGUGGUUGAUAAUUUCCACUUUUGCCUUUCUGCAGCCCAGAGACAGAAGCAGAUAAUGCAAGUGUCAUCUACAUCUGGCAAAAGCCAAAGGUUUGGAAGAUGGAAAAAGGAAUCCAGGCAAAAAGGAGCCCAAGAUUGAAGUGAAUGACCAGGUCCAAGGUGAAUGUCCAGUGCUGUUGUCCUUGGCCUGCAGCAGGAGGAGCAGGGAUCUAAGACUUGGAGAGCAAAUGUCAAGCUCAGAAGAAAGACUGGAAGUUUGGGGACAAAACCCAAAUAUGGCUAAAGAAAGCCUGUAGGAUGAAGUUGGAAGUUCCAGAGCCUUCUCUUCACAUAAUGGGACAUGCAAGGGGGAAACCAAAUCAAAAGUGUAGAAUGCGUCGCUGGAUGUCUUUGAC